rnacentral:rRNA from 1 species
GGUUGCUUAACACAUGCAAGUCAAACGAUGAUGCCCAGCUUGCUGGGCGGAUUAGUGGCGAACGGGUAAGUAAUACGUGAGUAACCUGCCCUUGACUCUGGGAUAAGCCUGGGAAACUGGGUCUAAUACUGGAUACUACCUCUUACCGCAUGGUGGGUGGUGGAAAGGGUUUUACUGGUUUUGGAUGGGCUCACGGCCUAUCAGCUUGUUGGUGGGGUAAUGGCUCACCAAGGCGACGACGGGUAGCCGGCCUGAGAGGGUGACCGGCCACACUGGGACUGAGACACGGCCCAGACUCCUACGGGAGGCAGCAGUGGGGAAUAUUGCACAAUGGGCGGAAGCCUGAUGCAGCGACGCCGCGUGAGGGAUGACGGCCUUCGGGUUGUAAACCUCUUUCAGUAGGGAAGAAGCGAGAGUGACGGUACCUGCAGAAGAAGCGCCGGCUAACUACGUGCCAGCAGCCGCGGUAAUACGUAGGGCGCAAGCGUUGUCCGGAAUUAUUGGGCGUAAAGAGCUCGUAGGCGGUUUGUCGCGUCUGCUGUGAAAGCCCGGGGCUCAACCCCGGGUCUGCAGUGGGUACGGGCAGACUAGAGUGCAGUAGGGGAGACUGGAAUUCCUGGUGUAGCGGUGAAAUGCGCAGAUAUCAGGAGGAACACCGAUGGCGAAGGCAGGUCUCUGGGCUGUUACUGACGCUGAGGAGCGAAAGCAUGGGGAGCGAACAGGAUUAGAUACCCUGGUAGUCCAUGCCGUAAACGUUGGGCACUAGGUGUGGGGGACAUUCCACGUUUUCCGCGCCGUAGCUAACGCAUUAAGUGCCCCGCCUGGGGAGUACGGCCGCAAGGCUAAAACUCAAAGGAAUUGACGGGGGCCCGCACAAGCGGCGGAGCAUGCGGAUUAAUUCGAUGCAACGCGAAGAACCUUACCAAGGCUUGACAUUCACCGGACCGCCCCAGAAAAUGGGGUUUCCCUUCGGGGCUGGUGGACAGGUGGUUGCAUGGUUGUCGUCAGCUCGUGUCGUGAGAUGUUGGGUUAAGUCCCGCAACGAGCGCAACCCUCGUUCUAUGUUGCCAGCACGUGAUGGUGGGGACUCAUAGGAGACUGCCGGGGUCAACUCGGAGGAAGGUGGGGAUGACGUCAAAUCAUCAUGCCCCUUAUGUCUUGGGCUUCACGCAUGCUACAAUGGCCGGUACAAAGGGUUGCGAUACUGUGAGGUGGAGCUAAUCCCAAAAAGCCGGUCUCAGUUCGGAUUGAGGUCUGCAACUCGACCUCAUGAAGUCGGAGUCGCUAGUAAUCGCAGAUCAGCAACGCUGCGGUGAAUACGUUCCCGGGCCUUGUACACACCGCCCGUCAAGUCACGAAAGUUGGUAACACCCGAAGCCGGUGUCCUAACCCCUCGUGGGAGGGAGCCGUCGAUGGUGGGACUGGCG